UUUUCUUUAGUAAACAUGAAGGGCAUGGAAUUUUUGCAUGCACCAUAGACUACAGCUGUCAGCUUUAACUUGUUGCCGUUCAUGGUUUUCUAUUUUUACAUUGUAUAUUACUUACAAGGAAUCCUCAGGUUAUCCAAUUUCCCUGCAUUCUGUUUCGACAAAGAAAAUGUUUAGGUAUUUGUAAUAGGAGUCACACUAUUUUGAAGAUAAAUUAUUUUUACAAUAAUCUAGAAAUGAUAUGUAGAAUCAGGCUCCACAAUACAAUUUACAAAUCUGAUUCAUGCAGUGCUGCAGGUAUGUUACACAUCAACGUUCCUGCUUAUUUUCAUUCUACUUUCUGUAGACCUAAAUCUUAUAUGAGCAGCACUAACUUUUUCCUGUCUUCAGUGGUUCUGGCUGUGUGUGGCUGGAUAUGGCUUUUAAACUACCCUGUCUACCCACAAUAUCAGGGUGUUUGGGACUAUAGGUAUCAGGCUAUCAUCUAAUGUCCUGCAAAAAAUGGGGGGUGAUUAGUUAUGUUGUCUGUUAACAAGCAAUACAGAAAUUUUUUUAGAUGAAAGCUCAACCAGAAAACUGACCAAAGCUGGUGUGGAUGCUGGUAAGUCCAGGAAAUUACUUUCCAGCUAGCAAAAUUGGUGCUUGAUUGUAUUGGUUGUCAAACGUGGGCUGCCUCGACGAUGCUGAAGAUGUCUGUCUUAUUUUGUUAUCCUUCUCUUAUUGGUUCUCAUGGGAUAUUUCUGGCCUCCAUGGAUCUUUCUGCAUCUUGUUUGUUUCCAUGCACAUUGUCGUAUGAAAUCCACUCUCCACCACUCCAGGUUUGUGCCUUAUAGUUUCAUUAAUUUUUCCUCUCUUUCUUUGGUUGCAUAUUUGCUAAUGGUCAGCUUCAUUAGUCCUGUCACGCUCACAGCUUUAGCAAAAAUCUGUGAGAAAAACUG
rnacentral:lncRNA from 1 species